rnacentral:rRNA from 1 species
UACGGGGGAUGCAAGCGUUAUCCGGAAUGAUUGGGCGUAAAGCGUCCGCAGGUGGCAGUUCAAGUCUGCUGUCAAAGACCGGGGCUUAACUUCGGAAAGGCAGUGGAAACUGAACAGCUAGAGUAUGGUAGGGGCAGAGGGAAUUCCUGGUGUAGCGGUGAAAUGCGUAGAGAUCAGGAAGAACAUCGGUGGCGAAGGCGCUCUGCUGGACCAUAACUGACACUCAGGGACGAAAGCUAGGGGAGCGAAUGGG